AGAUUAAAACAAGAGUGCACACGCUGAAAUGUCUCGCCUUCUUUACUAAUCAUUGAUAUUAUGUUGAUAGUCCUAAAUAUAAAGCUUUAUUACAACUGUCACAUAAACUUAACAUUAACCAAGUAAACUAAACAUUGACCAAUGAACCAUGAAAAUGAGGUCAAGGUCAGAUGAACCAUGCUAGGCAGGCAUGUACAGCUAACAAUUCUUCCAUACAACAAAUAUAGUUGACCUAUUGCUUAUAGUUUAAGAAAAACAGACGAAAACACAAAAACUUAACACUGAGCAAUGAACCUUGAAAAUGAGGUCAAGGUCAAAUAAAACCUGCGUGACUGACAUAUAGAUCAUAAAAUAUUUCCAUACACCAAAUAUAGUUGAACUAUUGCAUAUAGUAUUAGAAAAAAAGACCAAAACUCAAAAACUUAACUUUGACCACUGAACCAUGAAAAUGAGGUCAAGGUAAGAUGACACCUGCCAGCUAGACAUGUACACCUUACAAUCAUUCCAUACACCAAAUAUAGCUGACCUAUUGCAUGCAGUAUUAGAAAAAAAGACCAAAACUCAAAAACUUAACUUUGACCACUGAACCAUGAAAAUGAGGUCAAGGUCAGAUGACACCUGCCAGCUAGACAUGUACACCUUACAAUCAUUCCAUACACCAAAUAUAGUAGACCUAUUGCAUACAGUAUAAGAAAAACAGACCAAAACACAAAAACUUAACUAUAACCACUGAACCAUGAAAAUGAGGUCAAGGUCAGAUGACACCUGCCAGUUGGACAUGUACACCUUACAGUCCUUCCAUACACCGAAUAUACUAGACCUAUUGCUUAUAGUAUCUGAGAUAUGGACUUGACCACGAAAACUUAACCUUGUUCACUGAUCCAUGAAAUGAGGUCGAGGUCAAGUGAAAACUGUCUGACGGGCAUGAGGACCUUGCAAGGUACGCACAUACCAAAUAUAGUUAUCCUAUUACUUAUAAUAAGAGAGAAUUUAACAUUACAAAAAAUCUGAACUUUUUUUUCAAGUAGUCACUGAACCAUGAAAAUGAGGUCAAGGUCAGAUGACACCUGCCAGCUAGACAUGUACACCUUACAAUCAUUCCAUACACCAAAUAUAGUAGACCUAUUGCAUACAGUAUAAGAAAAACAGACCAAAACACAAAAACUUAACUAUAACCACUGAACCAUGAAAAUGAGGUCAAGGUCAGAUGACACCUGCCAGUUGGACAUGUACACCUUACAGUCCUUCCAUACACCGAAUAUACUAGACCUAUUGCUUAUAGUAUCUGAGAUAUGGACUUGACCACGAAAACUUAACCUUGUUCACUGAUCCAUGAAAUGAGGUCGAGGUCAAGUGAAAACUGUCUGACGGGCAUGAGGACCUUGCAAGGUACGCACAUACCAAAUAUAGUUAUCCUAUUACUUAUAAUAAGAGAGAAUUUAACAUUACAAAAAAUCUGAACUUUUUUUUCAAGUAGUCACUGAACCAUGAAAAUGAGGUCAAGGUCAGAUGACACCUGCCAGCUAGACAUGUACACCUUACAAUCAUUCCAUACACCAAAUAUAGUAGACCUAUUGCAUACAGUAUAAGAAAAACAGACCAAAACACAAAAACUUAACUAUAACCACUGAACCAUGAAAAUGAGGUCAAGGUCAGAUGACACCUGCCAGUUGGACAUGUACACCUUACAGUCCUUCCAUACACCGAAUAUACUAGACCUAUUGCUUAUAGUAUCUGAGAUAUGGACUUGACCACGAAAACUUAACCUUGUUCACUGAUCCAUGAAAUGAGGUCGAGGUCAAGUGAAAACUGUCUGACGGGCAUGAGGACCUUGCAAGGUACGCACAUACCAAAUAUAGUUAUCCUAUUACUUAUAAUAAGAGAGAAUUUAACAUUACAAAAAAUCUGAACUUUUUUUUCAAGUAGUCACUGAACCAUGAAAAUGAGGUCAAGGUCAGAUGACACCUGCCAGCUAGACAUGUACACCUUACAAUCAUUCCAUACACCAAAUAUAGUAGACCUAUUGCAUACAGUAUAAGAAAAACAGACCAAAACACAAAAACUUAACUAUAACCACUGAACCAUGAAAAUGAGGUCAAGGUCAGAUGACACCUGCCAGUUGGACAUGUACACCUUACAGUCCUUCCAUACACCGAAUAUACUAGACCUAUUGCUUAUAGUAUCUGAGAUAUGGACUUGACCACGAAAACUUAACCUUGUUCACUGAUCCAUGAAAUGAGGUCGAGGUCAAGUGAAAACUGUCUGACGGGCAUGAGGACCUUGCAAGGUACGCACAUACCAAAUAUAGUUAUCCUAUUACUUAUAAUAAGAGAGAAUUUAACAUUACAAAAAAUCUGAACUUUUUUUUCAAGUAGUCACUGAACCAUGAAAAUGAGGUCAAGGACAUUGGACAUGUGACUGACGGAAACUUCGUAACAUGAGGCAUCCAUAUACAAAGUAUGAAGCAUCCAGGUCUUCCAUCUUCUAAAAUAUAAAGCUUUUAAGAAGUUAGCUAACGCCGCCGCCGCCGCCGUCGCCGCCGGAUCGCUAUCCCUAUGUCGAGCUUUCUGCGACAAAAGUCGCAGGCUCAACAA